UACGGAGGAUCCAAGCGUUAUCCGGAAUCAUUGGGUUUAAAGGGUCCGUAGGCGGUUUAAUAAGUCAGUGGUGAAAGCCCAUCGCUCAACGGUGGAACGGCCAUUGAUACUGUUAAACUUGAAUUAUUGGGAAGUAACUAGAAUAUGUAGUGUAGCGGUGAAAUGCUUAGAGAUUACAUGGAAUACCAAUUGCGAAGGCAGGUUACUACUAAUGGAUUGACGCUGAUGGACGAAAGCGUGGGUAGCGAACAGG
rnacentral:rRNA from 1 species